UGGGGAAUAUUGGACAAUGGGCGAAAGCCUGAUCCAGCCAUGCCGCGUGUGUGAAGAAGGUCUUCGGAUUGUAAAGCACUUUAAGUUGGGAGGAAGGGCAUUAACCUAAUACGUUAGUGUUUUGACGUUACCGACAGAAUAAGCACCGGCUAACUCUGUGCCAGCAGCCGCGGUAAUACAGAGGGUGCAAGCGUUAAUCGGAAUUACUGGGCGUAAAGCGCGCGUAGGUGGUUUGUCAAGUUGGAUGUGAAAUCCCCGGGCUCAACCUGGGAACUGCAUUCAAAACUGACUGACUAGAGUAUGGUAGAGGGUGGUGGAAUUUCCUGUGUAGCGGUGAAAUGCGUAGAUAUAGGAAGGAACACCAGUGGCGAAGGCGACCACCUGGACUAAUACUGACACUGAGGUGCGAAAGCGUGGGGAGCAAACA
rnacentral:rRNA from 1 species